rnacentral:piRNA from 1 species
UAGCAAGUUUCUCUUGUAAUUUCUGUGCUGU